rnacentral:rRNA from 1 species
GUAGCAAGGUUAACCGUAUAGGGGAGCCGAAGGGAAACCGAGUCUUAACUGGGCGUUAAGUUGCAGGGUAUAGACCCGAAACCCGGUGAUCUAGCCAUGGGCAGGUUGAAGGUUGGGUAACACUAACUGGAGGACCGAACCGACUAAUGUUGAAAAAUUAGCGGAUGACUUGUGGCUGGGGGUGAAAGGCCAAUCAAACCGGGAGAUAGCUGGUUCUCCCCGAAAGCUAUUUAGGUAGCGCCUCGUGAACUCAUCUUCGGGGGUAGAGCACUGUUUCGGCUAGGGGGCCAUCCCGGCUUACCAACCCGAUGCAAACUACGAAUACCGAAGAAUGUUAUCACGGGAGACACACGGCGGGUGCUAACGUCCGUCGUGAAGAGGGAAACAACCCAGACCGCCAGCUAAGGUCCCAAAGUCAUGGUUAAGUGGGAAACGAUGUGGGAAGGCACAGACAGCCAGGAUGUUGGCUUAGAAGCAGCCAUCAUUUAAAGAAAGCGUAAUAGCUCACUGGUCGAGUCGGCCUGCGCGGAAGAUGUAACGGGGCUAAACCAUGCACCGAAGCUGCGGCAGCGACGCGUAUGCGUUGUUGGGUAGGGGAGCGUUCUGUAAGCCGUUGAAGGUGUGCUGUGAGGCAUGCUGGAGGUAUCAGAAGUGCGAAUGCUGACAUAAGUAACGAUAAAGCGGGUGAAAAGCCCGCUCGCCGGAAGACCAAGGGUUCCUGUCCAACGUUAAUCGGGGCAGGGUGAGUCGACCCCUAAGGCGAGGCCGAAAGGCGUAGUCGAUGGGAAACAGGUUAAUAUUCCUGUACUCGGUGUUACUGCGAAGGGGGGACGGAGAAGGCUAUGUUGGCCGGUCGACGGUUGUCCCGGUUUAAGCAUGUAGGCGGAUGUUCCAGGUAAAUCCGGAACGUCACUAACGCUGAGGUGUGAUGACGAGGCACUACGGUGCUGAAGUAACAAAUGCCCUGCUUCCAGGAAAAGCCUCUAAGCAUCAGGUAACAUCAAAUCGUACCCCAAACCGACACAGGUGGUCAGGUAGAGAAUACCAAGGCGCUUGAGAGAACUCGGGUGAAGGAACUAGGCAAAAUGGUGCCGUAACUUCGGGAGAAGGCACGCUGAUGGUAGGUGAAGUGACUUGCUCAUGGAGCUGAAAUCAGUCGAAGAUACCAGCUGGCUGCAACUGUUUAUUAAAAACACAGCACUGUGCAAACACGAAAGUGGACGAAUACGGUGUGACGCCUGCCCGGUGCCGGAAGGUUAAGAGGAGUGGUUAGCUUCUGCGAACCUACGAACCGAAACCCCAGUAAACG